rnacentral:rRNA from 1 species
GAUGAACGCUGGCGGCGUGCCUAAUACAUGCAAGUCGAGCGAACAGACGAGGAGCUUGCUCCUCUGACGUUAGCGGCGGACGGGUGAGUAACACGUGGAUAACCUACCUAUAAGACUGGGAUAACUUCGGGAAACCGGAGCUAAUACCGGAUAAUAUAUUGAACCGCAUGGUUCAAUAGUGAAAGACGGUUUUGCUGUCACUUAUAGAUGGAUCCGCGCCGCAUUAGCUAGUUGGUAAGGUAACGGCUUACCAAGGCAACGAUGCGUAGCCGACCUGAGAGGGUGAUCGGCCACACUGGAACUGAGACGCGGUCCAGACGCCUACGGGAGGCAGCAGUAUGGAAUCUUCCGCAAUGGGCGAAAGCCUUGCGGAGCAACGCCGCGUGAGUGAUGAAGGUCUUCGGAUCGUAAAACUCUGUUAUUAGGGAAGAACAAAUGUGUAAGUAACUAUGCACGUCUUGACGGUACCUAAUCAGAAAGCCACGGCUAACUACGUG